rnacentral:rRNA from 1 species
GACGAACGCUGGCGGCGUGCCUAAUACAUGCAAGUAGAACGCUGAAGGAGGAGCUUGCUUCUCUGGAUGAGUUGCGAACGGGUGAGUAACGCGUAGGUAACCUGCCUGGUAGCGGGGGAUAACUAUUGGAAACGAUAGCUAAUACCGCAUAAUAGCAGUUGUUGCAUGACAAUUGUUUGAAAGGUGCAAUUGUACCACUACCAGUUGGACCUGCGUUGGAUUAGCAAGUUGGUGGGGUAACGGCUCACCAAGGCGACGACACAUAGCCGACCUGAGAGGGGGGUCGGCCACACUGGGACUUGGACACGGCCCAGACUCCUACAGGAGGCAACAGGAGGGAAUCUUCGGCAAUGGACGGAAGGCUGACCGAACAACGCCGGGGGGGGGAAGGAGGUUUUCGGAUCGGAAAGCUCUGUUGUAAGGGAAGAACGAGUGGGGGAGGGGAAAGUGCACACUGUGACGGUACCUUACCAGAAAGCGACGGCUAACUACGUG